AGAAGAGCCGUCUCUGAGGUGGGGUAUUUAGAGCACCCUGGGCUCCAGAAAAGCUGCUCAAGGCCUUUAAUGAGAAGAUGUGAAGGGACUCACAGGAUUCUGGGAACAGGGAACGCUCCUCCAGUGACAGAGAAACAGCUCCUGGCCACCUCCUGUGCAGAAGAUGACCCAGCCAUGCCUUCCCUUCAGCUCUCUGUGAGUUGUUGAACAUUAGAAUUCCCCCCAGAGUCUAGCAACCUUGGCAUGACACAGACGUCCACAGGACAGAAGCAGAAGAAUCCCUCAGAUCCUCCCGCAUGAGGUUCAGCAAGCCUUAAGAUGGUUCUCCUUCUCUCAGGGCCCAAAGGUCCAGAGUGGCAUCUACCUCCAAUGCUGGGCGUUAGCUGGUACCAGGUCCACCCCGUGGCUGGCAAUUCUUCUCAAGAUGCCCUCAGGAAAUCCAAGCUUCAGCAGGGCCCCCUCCAAGGCAGGCACCCUGUGCUUCUUCUUCACCACAGGUACAACGUUGAAGCGGAUCUUCCUCCAGCCGCUGGACACCUGCAGGGACAGGCGCAUCUGCCCUCCCUUCAAGCUAGCAGCAUUCAGUGAACCUGCAACAAGCCACCAUUAAUCUAGGCCCCCUCUGCUGAGCCUAACCCUGCGUUGGUCCGGGAUACCCUACCUGCUGUCUUAAAUGCCCUUCCCUGAAUCUGCUUCCCUUCUGCCUACCCAUCCACACUGAGGUAUUACGUAACCCACCAGCCAA